CACGCUGAAACACCGGUUCUCGUUCGAUCACCGAAGUUAAGCAUCGUAGAGCCAGGUCUGUACUUAGAUGGGGGACCGCUUGGGAACACCUGGUACUGUAAG
rnacentral:rRNA from 1 species